rnacentral:lncRNA from 1 species
CAUUCGAGGUCAAGUGAGUAUUUGGCCUAUUUCCAGCUCUCACUUGCUUGACAAACAACUCGGUGACAAUCCUUGUAUUCUCAAUGUUCCAUUCAGCAACCAUGUUGGACAAUUCUAUAUAGAAGUUCAUGUCACUGUGUGUGCUAAAAAAGAUUGUAUGCACUCAUUUAUAAAUCUGUACAGCGACUACUUCCUCUAAAAAGAUUGUAUACUCUCAUAUAAAUCUGAACCUCAUCCAUGUCAUCUGAAAUUAAGAACAUGAAAAAAAACAGUGUGGGAGACUGCCUAAACUAUGUCAUCUGAACAUAUUUAAAAUGAUAGAGGGACUACCUCAACUAUGUCAUAUAGAAAUCGGUACAGGGUACAUCCAAAAAUAGGAACCAAAGGGACUCAUCUGGCCAUCCUAAAAUCUGAACCAAAUGGCCUCAUCUGCACAUCCUAAACUCUGAACCAAAUGGUCUGACUGCAUGUAACAUGAACUGAAUGGAGAUGGGGAGGGGUUGUGCAUACGCACAAGCUCACCUUGAGCUUCUGGAGCGGCGCCGGCGGGGCAGAGGAGCAAGGCCGACAACCUUAGGCGGUGCCGGCUGCUGACAGGUUGGGGUGGCGAGACAGAGGAAGG